AGAACGUGUCUUUCUAUGCCGUCUAAUGGGCUAGUGAAAAGCAAAUGGGUUAUGAAGAUUUUCGCAUUUCCCACAGACAAUUAUUUUAUCGGCCGAGUAUGACUGUAUGAUAUGAGUUUCGUGCAGGAAUGAUAGGACCGCUUCUUUCAGUAAAUUGUGAAUAGUUCUCGGUAGCAUGAGAUGUUAAAACGACUUCUUACGACGAUUUUGACCUGCGUAAUGUGUCGUUCUAAUGGGACCGUGCCGGCUAUCACUGUCGCUAUAUUAAUCGUUUAAUGAACUGCCGAGUAAGAUAAACAGCCGUUUUGUAUGCGAUUUGAAGCUACUGAAUUUUUCUUAUUGAGAUAAGCUGCGAAACAACACGUACAUCACGAGCGUCACUGUAAUGUAAUGUAAAAAUAAAAAAAAAGGCAUAUCCAACGGUAUGUUUCAAGGACUAUACUUGUAUAAAAGAAAAAUAGUCGGAAAUGGUGUGUUUCUGAUUAUGGGAUGGAGGCGGCAGUAUUUACGUUUAUCCCGUAACGGGCUUGUUUCUAACAUUUAACUGAAAAGAGCUGUUCCUAUUAAGUAUAGAGUGCGAAUGUUGCAUUAUAGGUAUUUAUCGAGUACUGCAAGAGCAUACCUUAUCCUGUAAAGGCACGGGAAUUAUCAUACUAUCCUUUCGAACUUUAUAAAGGGUCGCUGAAUGCACGGAUUUUUGAAUAACAUUUUUCUUUCUUGAAGAUAUUUCAAUAGAUUUACAGUUAUUUUGACCUUUGUGUUAGGUCUAUUUAUUGUAUAAAUACAUGCAUUGACCUGUUUUGAAUGCUCAUCCCGUGGUGGAUGCGCCACUCGUUUAGACGGGUAGCCUUAGAGCCUAGAGUUACAUUCUUGUUGUGAGUGUUCCUAGUAACCUUCGCUGCGUAGUCACCUCUUCGUCAAUCAGGUGUCAUCAAAACUUGUACCUAUCCUAGGAUGCACGUCUUUUGCUCGUCCUAGACCGUACAUAUAUCGCAACAAGAAUAUGCGGCCGUCGAGGUGGCAGGUAGUAGCUUCGAUUCAUUGUCGUGAACCGACGAACAGUCUGCUUUAUGAUUGCAGCAAGAAAAUUCUUCUCCUAAGUGAUCUGUCCGCUGACUGGUACCGUUCACUUAUUUAUUUUGACACGCACACAAGAGGAUACUUGCGUCAACGAUUCGCUGAUUUAUACUAUCGAGGUACGGUGGUGAGAUGGAAACAUCACGACUGUCCCCUCAACCAUAAAGUUUACUCUAUUGUCACACAUCUCCCUUGUGGAUAGUUAGCAUCCGAAGAGAUGUCUGCAGAGUCCUCUUGUCACAAGAAUUUUGACGUUCGUUGAUGCACGUUAGCAAUCGAAGAACACUGAAAUUAAAUAGAAAAAUUGUAGUACAACUUAAUGCUGCCAAGACAAAACGACGACAUUUUGAAACACUAGUGCUAAACAGAUUAAAGAAGACUUCGGAGACCCUCAUCUUUAGGACCGUCUUCGUUGGUGCUUACGGCCGCUCACGUGACGCUUUUUUUCUGUGAGACGUUGCAUGACUAAGUUACACAGAUCGAUAGGUUGACGCUACCAGGGAUCAUUCUCCACUCAUAUCUAAUUUGAAAUAAUGAGACAUUUUUUAAGGACUUUGCUAGCUAUGCUGACAGCAUAUAUGCUACUAAUGCCCACAUGCGACGCCUCCUUUUUUGAAGGGCCCACUGAGGCCCCUAUACAUGAAGAACCAUUAAAAUCUGCUGGGAAACCUGCUCAACGAGCCGAUGGCAACAGUAAUAUGCGACAAAGACAUGUGUUAAUGUCCCCACAGAUUAGAAAUGGCGGAAGCGUAAAAGCUAUGAUAAAAAUGUUUCUCUCAGUGAUCAUUGAUCGAUAUCUCAACAAGAUUAUCAAUAUGUUAAUGGACACCGUGGGCAAUGAGUACGGAGGCGGGAACCUCCACGGAGAACGCGGACCACCAAUGCUACAUUCCCAAAGUGAUGCAUUUUUCUUCUAGCGAUGUCGAAGCCAAGGACAAGCAUCAAUAGACUCACAGUGAAUAAAACCUGCAUUGUAUGAAAAUGGUGCAGGCCAAGCUGCUAA
rnacentral:lncRNA from 1 species